rnacentral:rRNA from 1 species
AUGGGAGGUAAAUUCCUUCUAAAGCUAAAUACUGGCCAGAGACCGAUAGCGCACAAGUAGAGUGAUCGAAAGAUGAAAAGCACUUUGAAAAGAGGGUUAAACAGCACGUGAAAUUGUUGAAAGGGAAGCGCUUGUGACCAGACUUGCGCCGGGCUGAUCAUCCGGUGUUCUCACCGGUGCACUCUACCCGGCUCAGGCCAGCAUCGGUUUUAGCGGGGGGAUAAAGGCCCCGGGAACGUAGCUCCCCCGGGAGUGUUAUAGCCCGGGACGUAAUGCCCCCGCCGGGACCGAGGACCGCGCUUCGGCAAGGAUGCUGGCGUAAUGGUCAUCAGCGACCCGUCUUGAAACACGGACCAAGGAGAAUCA